rnacentral:tRNA from 1 species
UAAUAUGAAGGAAAAUUUCCAUUUAAUUUCGACUUAAAAAUCUGAUUAUUUUUAUAAUCCAUAUUAA